AUAAAGUUUUAUUCUAGCUUAUUUAAUUAAUAUUUGUAUUUUUUAUAUAUAAAUUUUUGUAUGUUAAUAAUUUAAAUAAUUAUUAAAAUUAAUGUAGUAAUUAUUUUUAUAUAUUAAAUAAAUUUAGAUUUAGAAAUAUAAAUUAAUAUUAACAAAAUUUGUGCCAGCAGUUGCGGUUAUACAGAUAAUAUAAUUAAUUAUUUUUAGUUUAUAAUAAAAUGUUUAUAAUUUAAUUAUAAUAAUAAAUUUAAUAAGUGAAAUUUUAAAUUUAUAAAAAUUUUAUUUAUAAGAUUUGAAUUUAUUAAAUUUAAAAUUAAACUAGGAUUAGAUACCCUAUUAUAUUAAAAGUAAAAUUGUUACUAAAUUAGUAUUAGAUAUAUUCUUAAAAAUUAAAGAAUUUGGCGGUAUUUUAAUCUAUUCAGAGGAACCUGUUUUAUAAUUGAUAAUCCACGAUUUUUAUCACUUACUUUAUUUAUAAUUUGUAUAUCAUCGUAGUUGAAUAUUUUAUAAAAAUUAAUAUUCAUAAUUUACUAUAAAAAAUUAAAUCAGAUCAAGGUGCAGUUUAUAAGUAAGAUUUAAUGGGUUACAAUAAUUUAAAUUAUAUGGAUAUUUAAUUUAAAAAUUAAGUUUAAAGUGGAUUUGAAAGUAAUUAAAUUAAAUUUAAUUUAAUGAUAUUAGUUCUAAAAUAUGCACAUAUCGCCCGUCACUUUCAUUUAAAAUGAAAUAAGUCGUAACAAAGUAGAUGUAUUGGAAAAUGUAUCUAGUAUUCA
rnacentral:ncRNA from 1 species